CUUCAUUAACCUGGCUUCCAAUUAUUGAAAUCUAAUAAUAAUCUUCGUAAAGUUUUUGUAAUGUAUGUAAAAAUUAAGUUUUGUUUGCAAAUUUUUGUCACUUGGUUCUGAAAUUACCAAAUUGUUGGAAUGAUCUUUGUUGCAAUCAAUUGGCACCACAAAAAAGGUUACAAUAAAAAAUAUGUUGUCUCUUUUAGAUUCUGAGAUUUUUAUCAAAAACUAGUCAACAAUCACAAGUGAUUUAUCUCGUCUGACCACUUCGCUAAUGAAUUAGAAGAAGAGAUUCGACUGAAUUAAUUCAGUAACAUCAACCGAAUUUUUCGAAUAAUUAUCUUCAACAGCUGUAAUUUAUAAAAGGUCCCAGGUAUUUCAGGAAAUAAACGUUUAAAAAUCUCUUGAUUGGACGAUAUUUUUCGAGAGAUUUUCAUUCAACUGGGGAAAUGAAGACCAAGUGACUCAUCAGGCAUCAAAGACGCUCAUAUAAAAGCUUCCUCCACAAUGUUUGACGUCUCCAGCUUCUCAGUCCAAAAAUAUAAUCACACGAGCUGAUCAUAGAUUUCACUGGGAAAAAGUGGGAGACUUCCUGGAGAAAUGGAAAUGUUUCCUCCCGCUGGUUUAUAUCGAGGUGACGAUUCCCCGGGUUCCAGACGUCUGAUGUGGGCGCGGUUAAUGCCCCGGGACUGGAUGAUCAUCAUCGAAAGGAAGAGAAUAUAUCUCCAUACGAAUCACCUCCCAGGAUACAUUUUUCUGACAUAUCCAUCCCUUUUCAUCCAGUCAUGAUUCUAAUGGAACCCGUUACGAUUCAAUUCCCAUGACCACCCGAGCCUCGGAAACAUGAAGAAAAGAAAACACGGAAAACACAUGUAUAGUAGAGGGUUCUCCUUGGGCUCUCAAGGAGAAAACCCGAAGGAUCCCGAGGGUGUCACCGCCUCAUGUGUCACGCGGAAAUGCUUUUGUCUAAACGAAAAGCCGAAUAUACUGGCCACCGCAGAAGAGCCUCUGGCCGUAUUUUUCCGACGAAAAUCACCACCAACACUUCCGACCACAAUUUAUCUUCCUGUCCCGGGAAAAUCUCAAUUUUUCAACUUUUUUGUUUUCACAACCUAUUUUUCUUUAUUCUGCUCCCAUAAUGGUAGUAUGCAUUGGAUUUGACGGCCAUUUGACAUGUCAUGUGGAAAAAGUGGAGUUCACAUUAACUUAUAGAAGACAAAAUGAGCUCGGAGCACUGAAAUUAUCUGGAUUUAGUGGCAGUGAGGAGACGUGAGCUUUUUUGAGAAACAUGUAUUGCUUUAAAUUCAAAAAUAUGUAUUAAAACUCCCAUAGAAAUCGAAACUUGAAAACCAAGUGCAGAAUAUGAAAUCGUUCUUAUCCGAAAGGUGACGAUAAUUUAAGAAUUUAUAUUUUUCUAAAUUGGUCAAUUAAUUGA